rnacentral:lncRNA from 1 species
GGACGACGGCCUCGGUCCUGGCAGCGUUGACGGGGGUGGUGAUGAAGCUGACGCGGGCGCCUCGCUCGGCGAGGAGGACGGCCAUGUCGGCCAUGGGGAUCAUGUGCCCCUGCGCCAGGAAGGGAACCAACACGAAGUGAGGCCUCGUCUUGCUUUCGCCAUUACUGGCUGUCGGCGCGUGGUGGUGUUGCAUGACGAGAACUAGAGAGCCCUGAUGCGACUCAGAGCUGACAUACACACCCGCAUAUGUAGAGUGAGAUGCGUUGACCACCGAGUGAGCGGCUGUCGUUGGCAAACGGUGAACAUAAACUGUGGCAAAGCAAAAUCAACUGAGGAGAAGGUUGAGAAGAAGUUAUGGGUAGCGAGAGGAACAUGGAGGCCACCGUGUUUGACGACAAUCUUACAGUAAGCUCGUGGGUUGUCAGACCUGCCUUCUUUGUUGCCAUGAUCGCCACGGCGUUGUGGAUCUCAUGGGCACUCACUGCAUCGGGGGUUUGUCCCAGUCUCAAUACCGAAACAACGCCCAAUUGUUUAGACGAUAAGAGAACCCAGAGUUUUCUUGAAGCUGUAGCAUCUUUAACGAGGGAAUCUUUGACCGAGUACAAGACAAAGUCUGCUAGAAGAUCUCUAAUGUCUUAUUCUAUUUGCAAGUCGUCUCCAUCGAGAUCUGAGUCAAUUUCUAAAUGGAAACGGGAUGGUAUGGGUGAAGUCAAUUUCUACAAGAUUUUCAUUACUAUAUGUGGAAAGAAAAUAUAAAGAAAUUGUGUUACAGCCAAGAACAGAAAGAUCAUAAAUUUCCUUUUCUUAUCAUCUUUCAGUUUAUCAUUUUUUUCAUGUUUUCUGUACUAUCCUCUCCAUCAUCGCUUUCCAUCUCACAUAAAAACUUCUUUAUAUAUAAAUUUUUUUUAAUUUUUUUUAUAAGAGUACCGUAUUAGAAGUUUAAUAAUGAGUUAACUUAGUGUCUAUGUAAAAAAUUUCCAAUUGGUCCAUGGUCUUCCUCCCAAUGAGCGGGCUAAAUAAUUAUAAAAAUAACAUUUAUGAUGAUAAUUAUAUUAAUUAUCCUAUGUAAAAAAAAUAAAAAUUUGUAUGUUAGUAAUAUGAGAUAUCUCCUUAAUCUAUAUCUCUUUGUCUCAAUAAUUGUAAAAAAUAACAAUUAUGGUAAUAAUUAUAUUAACUAUUCUAACUAAAAAACCAAAAAAAAAUUUAUGUGAGAUUUAGAUAAUAAAAUUUGCUGAAGAUUAUGAUAAGAUAAUAAAAGAUUGGAAAAAGGUUUUAUUUUCAUUUUGUUCUAAUGUUUGAUCAAUUAAAUGAAAAUUAAAAAUGAUAAUAAUUUUCACCAUAAAUAUUUUUGUAAUCUAUAUAAUAACAAUAGGAGAGGAUCCAAACCAUGGAUUUCAAAUGCUUGAUUGCUAGUGAUCACCAUAGAUUGAAUGGGUCAACAUAAAUAAAUUGUAUUAUGCAGUAGCCAAUGGAUCAAUUGCCUUUGGCUCCUGAAACAAUGCCUUGAGGCCAUCUGACUUCUCCCAAUCUAUUUGAGAUGGGUCAUAUAAUAAUCUCUCCUUCGUGUGCAUAGCUUAAUACAAUUUACUUAAUUUUCUACUUCAUUGUCUGGCAUCAUAUCUCUUUUUUAACUGUUUCUUCAAAGCUUAUAAGAUCUAAAAUAAACAAAGCAAAUAUUGAAUCAUAAAUUUUUGUUAGUGAUCUGAAUUUUUCUAGAGGGGUUUAUUUGAGAAAUCAUUUUAUGUUGAAAUCUGAAAUUAUUUUUCAUAUUUAUUGAUCUUCCAAUUCUAACUUAUUCUUUCAUCAAAUAUAAUAUUUUAGUUAAUGAUAAAUUUGUUACUAAUAAGAUUAUACAAUCUUAUUAUAAGAAAUUAUAAGAAAUAACCAAUUAAGAUAUAUUUUUUAGAUUUAUGAAUUUACCAAAGCAUAAGUAAUAUAACAAAAAAAUUCUUAGAUUGCUUACUCUUGGCUUUAUAUUAUACCAAGCCUAAAAAUGAGUUUGAUUCAUAAUAACUCUUUUUGAUAAAAUAUUUAAUAAAUAAACUGUUGUUACAACUGUUUUUGUCAAAAACUGAUUUAGAAGAUGCUUUCUUUGUCAAAAACUGAUUGCUUACUGUUCCAAGUGCCUUUAUGCAUCUACCAUUUGUAUUUUUAUAAGUGUCUAGAAUUUUUAAAAAUUAUUAAAUAUUUUAAAUUCAGUUCUAGAAAACAUAGCGUAGUUAUAACCAUUAAUAAACAAUAAAACAUAUCGACUUCCACUAAAUAAUUUUAUAUUGAUAGGUCCAUAUAAAUCGGUAUUAAUUAAUUUAAGACAAUUAGAUACUCUUGAUUCUUUUCCGGGGAAAUAGUUUCUUACUUUGUCAUAAAUAUAUUUUUCAUAUACAUUAAGUAUAAUAAUUAUGUAAUCAUUUUUUUUAUUUAACAACCUUAAACCCUUAAUGUUAAUGUAUCUAUAUCUUAAAUAUCAUAAAUUAAACUCAUUUGUUACAAUAAAUGCAUACUUUUCAAUAUUUGAAACAUUAAGUAGACAAAUCUUGUUUUACAUAUAAACAUUUAUUGUAAUCAGAUCAUAUUUUUUAUCUUUAAUACUGUAUGAAAAAUCAUCAAAUAUAAUUGAAUAUCCAUCAUUUAUCAAUUAUCCAAUACUCAACAAGUUAUGUGAUAAAUUAGGAAUAAAGAAAAUAUUAUCAAAGUGUUUUACCUUCCCUUGGUUUGUCUUCACCUUUGAUAGAGGAUAUUCUGGUACCACCCAACUGGCAGCCACCUUAGACCCCACGUGGCACCCCCUAGCUAGAGUCAUGCACACAUCUCAAAGUAGUACAAAACGGUAUAGCCUGACUAAAAAAUGACUGUAUCCCGAAGCGACGCCACCCAACUCAAAAGCAACGCAAAGCAGAAUCCACGCCACUUGAAAUCGCACAAAGUGGCACCCGAAAGUGAGGAGACAGCCCCACACAACACGGGAUCAGAACAAAUGAACCAUCCACCUAAAAUAUUGACGAACACUAACAACCUACAAAUAGUCGAUCCCUAGAGAGGUAUAAAAACUACUCUUGAGUAAGCGCCAAGGGAGCUAAGCAAGUAAUAGCCUCUCUACUCUCUUAUUUACGUAACUGAUAUUGCUACAUUUCUCUUCCUUCGCCUUUCGUUGACUUAAGCAUCGGAAGGGUCAAGCUGAGAAGCCCCAAUGUAGACUUGUCAAGAGAUAACUCUGCUGCCAAGACGUAGCCUCGUAGCCAUGAGGCAACCCUUUAAUCAGAGGACAACCUAUCCAUCAUAAGAGAGGAUCUCACAGCUGAGCAGAUCUCAAUACCUCUACCUAGUCUCACUGCUCUAAAGCCAGAUCAACCCCUGUGAACCACCUCCCUUGUAGACCUCCUACACUGGUUUGUCGUGUCAGCACUCCCACAUUAGCACGAAGGAUAUCACAAGGAUGAACCGGCACCUUCAAUUAUGAACCAAUUAUGCCGACUUACCAAUUGACGAUACUCAUGAUACUAUCAACAUCAAUUGUUCUUUUCUCAUCUAUUCGGAUUUGCUUGUUAUCUCAAAGUCUAACUUUCAACUUGUGAAUUUCAUUAAUAUCCUUAAACAUUGAUCUUAUGUCUGACAUAUAAUUAGAACAUCUACUAUCCAAAAAUUAAAUAUCAUUUAAGAUUUCAUUAACUUGUGAAUGAGUCGUAAAUAACUUACUAUUUUCUUUAUUUUCCUCCGCAUCUUACUUGUUUUCCUCUUUUCUUACAAUAUGUCUUUAUGUGAUCAAAUUUUUUACAAUAAUGAUAUUAAAUUUUAAUAUUAUAACUUUUUUUAUCAUAAUUUGAUUGCUUUUGUUAAUUGCGCUCGUUAAAGUGUCCUCUAUCAUGAAAUCGACAUGUUUAAUUUUUUUAUUAUUUUUUUCAAGUAGAAAACUCUCCCUUAAUCUGAAAUAUUUUUUAUUCAUUUUUCUCAAGUGACCUAUUCAACAUUGAUUUAUGUGCUUACAAAGAACUCAUUAAUUCAUAAAAUGAAAAGAUAGAUAAAUCUUUUGACUCCUUAAUUAUAACAACAACAUAAUCAAAUUUUAGAGUUAAACUUCUCAAAACUUUUAUAAUAAUUAUAUGAUCAUGAUAAUUUUCACCAUAAGAUUUCAUUUUAGUAAUAAUUUUAGUUACUUGAAAACUAAAUCUUGCACUGAAGUUUUAAACUCAUGAUGAAAGACAUGAAGUUUUACCGUAAUCAUAUUUGAUGAGCUUUAAAAGUUAUCUUGAUGUAUCAGCUUAAGAAUGUCCUUAGGUGUAAUAACUAUCUCACUCUAUCAUUUCACCUAUGAUUAAAUUAGGUAUAAUAACUAUGCCUAUGACUAUAACUUGGUAUAUGAUGAGUCUCUUAGGUAGAACUAUUUAAAACAUGAUGAAAACUCUCCAUGAUAACUUCUUAUAAUCCGUCGUGACCAAUCCUCCCUUGAAAAUAGGCCGGCAAUUUCUUUAGCUCUAGUGACAAUGACUUGACCUCCUUUAUAACCCAAAGGAAGGGCAUGCCAGAUGUCUCCAGCCCACACCCAAUCUCCAUUAGCUAUGUUGUGCUGUGGCCGAUGUUGCUGUCAAAGCCAACAUAGACAAUAGACCUCGGCUCCUUCUUGUCGAGGUAGCGUAGGACUCAACGUUUGUCCAUGGAUGCCUUGUUCCCUCUUGCGGCCUUGUCCUCUAGAUCCAAACCUUCUUUCCUUUCACCUCUCUAGUGUAGCACUCAAUGUAUGUUGCAUCUAAGGUCUCAAAUGUAUUGAUCACGAACCCGUCAGCAACCAUCUUCGCCUCCCGAACCUCCUCGCGGAACUUUUCCUAGCCCGGCAUGGUGAGCCAAGUUAAUCUCGAGCCAGUGAAGCAACCCAGGCACGUCGAAAGGCUCGAAUGGGUCAUCAAUCCGAUCGUAGAUCUUGUGUUGCAGGACCAUAUGUGAGCAUAGAACGUACAAGCAGGAGGGGCCGUGGAAGAGGAGAUAUGGCAUCCGGAGCUCCUUCGCGAACUCCCUCAUCCAAGGGUUGCAACAAUCGGCGACCAUGCACCCCGGGGCUUGCCGCUGGGCUUGAAAGUGUUGCUUAAGGGGUUGAUGGAGAACGCUGGUGGCCGUGAAGAAUGGUUGAAGCGAUGACAUAGAAGGCAGCAGGUCGACGUUCUCGCACCCCUCGGGGACCCCCACUUUGGUGCAAGGGAAAGGAGGUUCAACGAAGUCGGUCGGUAGGCCGACUCGUUUAGCUUGGCUGAUGACGGCAUCGGUCCUGGCAGCAUUGAUAGGGGCGGUGAUGAAGCUAACGAUGGCGCCAUGCUUGGCGAGGAGGAUGGUCGUGUUGGCAUGGGGCCAUGGCCCAGCACCAGGAAGGGAACCAACACGAAGUGAGGCUUCGUUUUGCUGUCGUCGUUCAUGUCAAAACUACAGAGCUUGAUGCUCAAUAAAUAAAAUUAUUCUAUAAAAAAUUAAUAUCAAGAUAGAAGUUAAGUAUUAUAAAUUCAAAAUAGUUUAUUUUAAAUAAAUCUCUAUAAUUGAAUAUUAGAAGAUCAAGAAGAGUUUACUUUCUUUCAAAAUCUUUAGAGAGUUCCUUAUUGUUUAUUCUAAAGAAUUUUAACAAAAAUAAAUUUUUUUAUAUUAACAUAUAAUGUGAUAAAGCAUAUUUCGUCACCACCCAUGCGACGACAGUCAACUGUCACCUUGAAAUCGACGUGGCGCAUGCGUGCUAAAAUGGCACGUCGAACUAUGGUGCAACGAUAGGUUGUACCCGUGUCGCUCGGGGUCAUAUGAGACGACGCCACCCCAACAAAACCAUUCGAAGCGGUACAAGGCAAUGUCACACAACAUGAAACCUUCCAAACCGGUCCACGUCGUGUGGAGCAUAUGGGCCGAUUGCGGGGGGGAUCAACGACCAUUAACAGAUCCCGUACAACUGACCUCAUGACAGGUAUAAAGGUCAUGCUAGUUAUAGAUGCUUUGCAAGUCAAUCACGUGAGUGAUGACACGUGCAACAUGCUAUACAGUGUUUUUAUUUAUUAUUAUUUAUUAGUAUUUUCUCAUUUUAUAUUGCAUAUUGCAUAUAUUGUAAUGUCCAUGGAUCAGUGCAAUGAAAAUCAAAUCGAGAUCAUAAUAAUAAAAUUGAUUUACUUUUAAAUAAAUACGCUAGAGGGACAUCGUAAUAAUCGGAUAGACUAGUGUGCUGUAUACCCAUCCAUAUGAUUGAGGUGACUGGUUUCAUAGUUGUGGAGACAUUAGGGAUACAAUGCAUGUACUCAUUGGAGAAUGAGUUCAAUGAUUGAUCCACUUAUAGAAUAUUGAAUGGUUGAUGAUACUUCAUUGUCAAACAACGAUUCCAUGGUCUUCAUUGUGUACUUGGUCCUUAGACUUGAGACACCAAGGAUAUCCUGUAUAAGUAUUCCACUCUUUGAUAUCGGACUUAUAGUUCGCGAAGUUUCAAAUCUAGCAUAACCGAUCAUUGGAAGUAUCCUAUGUGUUCUUGCUUAAACAAAUCCUUAGUCAUGGUUGGGUUAAGAGAGGAGUUCUUUGGGAGAAUCUGAUUAUAUCGAGACUCGAGUAUAUUCCGUAUGGGUCUGAUAACACCAUACAUAAUAUAUGAUUUCUGGGAUAUUAGAUGGAUGAAGAACUAUAGAUACACGAUAACUAAGGAUAUAUAUGUCCAAUGGAUUGGAUUCCCUAUAUCAUUUGAGGAUUACGGUGUAGUGGCAUAGUAUAUUUAUAGUUGAUGAGUUGUGUGAAUUAUUAUGAAGAUAAUAAUUCACUAAGUCAGAAGAAGUUCUGACAGGUACGACUCAUGGCCAGUUCGAUAUUGGGUAUAGAGGGUCACACACAUAUGGUAGGUGUUAUGAUGAGUAGAGGUUCGAAUAUGAGAUAUUUGUUGGAGCCCCUAUUUUAUUGGAUAUCCAGUAAGCUCCUGAAUUAUUAGAUCCUAUAGGUAAGAUCUAAUAAGAGCCAAUGCAAGAUUCUUAGGUAGAGAUCCACUGAUCCAAGAUGUUUGGAUAACUAGAUAGAGAUCCAGUACCCAAUAUGGUAGGAUCCAUUAAGAUUAAGUGGUAGGAACCUCUAUAAAUAUGAGGGCCCAAAAGAUAGCAUAGGAUAGUUACCUCUUGACUGCCCCUCCUAUUCUCCUCCCUCUCCUCUCUUCCUUAUUCAACAACCCCAAUUGAGGGCACGUGGACAACAAGAAGGCCAGCCCCUUCUUGAUCAUGUGGUCCGCGUAGAGAGGAAGAUCAUUCAGUAAUUUGAGGAUCGUUUUCACCAUAUUUAUCAUGUGAAUUAUCACUAGAGAGGAGGGUAGUUGACCUCAUUUAUCUAUUCCUAUAGAUCUAGGAUUUUUUAGGGAUAUACAAUCUCCCUAUGUAAUAAAUCUCACUUGAUAUUUGCGGUUUCGGUUUUGUAUUUUAUUAAGCACAUCAAUUUUCACACGACGAUGAGAUACACUUUUUUUAGAAAUAUAUGUUUUUUAUUUUAUGUUUUUCACUGCAUAUGUGAUGCUCUAAUCAGGUUUCCCAAUAGGCUGACUCUUUGGUCAACGCUAGGGGGUCGAUCUCUGAGCACUCAAACAUACUAAAACUCACCUCAACACCACAAUACUAACUUAAGCUUUAGAGGAGUCGAAUCAGUAUUUCCCCUUCCGACUUUAGCCUAUAUGCUGGAACCCAAUAAGAAAGGAAAAGUAACUCCUAGCUCAACUUCAGAUCGACUUGACAAAUAACGUCCUCACCCAACUUAAUAUCGACCCUCUCCAGCCAAGAAGCCAGGAAGCCACGCAGACGAUCUAACGCAUUCGGAUUGGACCAAGUCACGGUGACAACUUGUCACCACGUGAAGUUGCACAACAGAAUCUAAUUAAAAUCUUAAUAUAUUUUAAUUAAUUAAUUUAAAAUCAUAAAAUCGAACAACCUAUGGAGUAGUGGUCCAACUUCACCCGCCUCCCUCCCUAAUACUAUGACUACAAAGCCUCACAUGUUUCACGUUAAAUAAUUAUCUAUACGUGACAUAGUUUACAUUCUCUAUUCUCUUCCCACAAAGGUGCCAAAUUUGUUGUUUUAUACUGAUCUCAAAAACAUAUAAAAGGUAUGCUUCAAAUAUGUCGAGGUAGAGAUUUCAUAAUAUGAUGUCGGCAACAAAUUAUUCCCCUCCAAUCCAUUCCAUCUUUAUCUCUGGGUCUUAGCCACGUCGCCAUCAAUCAUAUCGAGGCUCGAGAUUGAUUCCAACCGUUGCAAUUUCACCCAAAUUAUUCGACAAAAAGGGGAAAAAAUGAUGGAAUAAAUCUUUUUUCUAUUCACAUGAUCGAUCACAUCACAGCAUUCCAAAAUUACACGAUGUUUCUCUUUCUAAAAGCGUAUGUUUGGGGGUCGGAUUUGAAUUGGCAUCGAUGCUAAUUGAAUCAAAGAUACAGGAUGAGGAGGAUGCGAUUUGAGUCGAUGCGACGAGAGCAUCAACCUAAUUGUUGGUUGGAAAGAUUUAGAGGGGAUUGAGAGUUGGCUUGGCUGUGAAAGCGUGCCAUCGUGGCUCGUUUCUUGAAUGGGAAAGGAUGUGGAUGAGCAUUGAAGAAACGAGUCAUGUAAUUAGCAUGUCCAUGGAAGUUGGCGAUCCUUGUUUUCCUAGCUUCCAUCGUUUAGGACUGGGACACUUUUGUCUUCCACUGUAGCAGAGUUCUUCGUUAUGUGUCAUUAACCAAAAAGAAGAUUAUGAUAGGAAAGCGUGCAGAGCCGAGAUCGCUUACGGCUCAGCCCAAGAUUUAGCCAACAGUGCAGCCACGAUUACAUUAUAGAAUUCAAAGGAGAAUAUUCUAUCGAUACUAUAUAAUGUUUCCUUGGGUCAAGCCCAUCAUCCAAACUCUUAUUUUUUCAACUUGAAUUGUCGGAUACUCCAUCUGACCUUAUUGUUUACAUAAGUCAAUCACUAGUAGAUGCCUAAGCUACUCGCUUGCCCAAGUCAGAUAUGUUACAUAGACUGAUCUAUAUCGAGUCAUGCUAAUCCAAACAUCAUCGAUAACAUGGGUGGUUUCGCCAAUGAGCUUCAUUGGGUGUGGAUAAGAAAAAAAAAAUUCUAUUAUUUGAAAAUAUAUUCCCAAUGAGGUCGGUCGAGUGUCACAUCGUAUUACUUUCUAUGAGAAUGUUAACAUGUCUUAUCCUAAACUGUUUAAGAAGUUAUCGACCCUAACCUUCAUCUUAAAAGAAAUUGGAAGGUUAUAACACGUAUGAAGUUUUACUGCACUAACGGUGACAUAUAUUAUUAUGGUUUUGAUUUUGCCACAAUAACAGAUAGAAUUUUGUGAUUUAAAGAUCUCAAGAAUUCUUUUCUUCGAUGGAAAUAUAUAUAUUUUUUGAAAUAUAAAACGUUCAUCGAUUAACCAAACUCGUAAGUCAAAUUUUACGAUAAGCAGAAGGAUUAUUUGUUUGAACUUUCUAAAAAGACAUAUCGAUCUCAACAUAGAACGCUUAUUUUUAGUUGGCACGAAAACAGGACACAUGCGAAUAGCUUCUUCCUCAUCCUCGUGCUUGAUCAUGGUGCGAUGCAUAAUGGAUCAACUGUGUCACGUUGGCAUAAGAUGAGCCUCCUACUUCCAUUGCCUCCUUGGCCUUUCUCCCCAGCUCUCUUGCUCUCUCCCGUCUCUCUUCUCCUUUCUCGCCUCCGUCCAUCAGUCUCAAGACCGCCUUCUCUAUCUCUUCUGCGCUUACGUGGGCGUCGGGCACCGUCACGCCCACCGCCACUCCGGUUCGCAGAACGUCCACGAUCAGCCUCUCAUUAAUGUACUGGUCGCUGCUGAAGUGAGGCCAUGUCGCCAUCGGCACGCCCUCCGACACCGCCUCCACCACCGAGUUCCAUCCGCAGUGUGUCACGAAUCCUCCGACCGCCGGGUGCGACAAGAUCGCCGCCUGAGGCGCCCAUCCCUUGAUGAUAAGUCCCUUGUCACCGACCCUCUCCUGGAAGCCGCCGCAAGACAGCCACUUCUCCACCUCAGGGGACGACGCAUCGACCUCCUUGAUCACCCAAAGGAAGGCCUGGCCGGAUGCUUCCAGCCCACGCCCUAUCUCCAGUACCUGAGCCGGGCUGUGGCGGACGAUGCUGCCGAAGCUGACAUAGACGACAGACCUCGGGGCCUUCUCGUCGAGCCAGAGAAGGAUUCGAUGUUUGUCCACGGACGCCUUGUUCCCUCUCGCGGCCUUGUCGUCCGGAUCCUGGUUCGACAGCGACAGUGGCCCGAUCGUCCAAACCUUCUUCCCCUUCGCGUCUCUGCUGUAGCACUCGACGUAUGUGGCCUCCAAGGCUUCAAACGUGUUGAUCACAAACCCAUCCGCGGCCGUCUCCGCCUCCCAGACCUCCUCGCGGAACUUUUCCCACCCCGGCAUGGUGAUGAACCACGCCGUCUGGGCCAUGCUGAUCUCGAGCCGGUGAGGCAAGCCGGGCACGUCAAAAGGCUCGAACGGGUCACCGAUCUGCUCGUAGAUCUUGUGCCGUAGGAUCAUGCGUGCGCACAGCAUAUUCCAGCAGGAGGGGCCGUGGAAGAGGAGAUAUGGCAUCCGGAGCUCCUCGGCAACUCCCUUCGUCCAAGGAUUACAUGAGUCAGCGAUCAUGCACGUCGGGGGUUGCCGCUGGGCUCGAAGGUGCUGCGUAAGGGGGUGACGGAGAAGGCCGGUAGCGUCGUGAAACUGUUUCAACAAUUCAUAAGAAGGCAGCAGGUCGAUUCUCUCGCAUCCUUCGGGAAGUCCAGAUUCGGCGCAAGGGAAGGUAAGCUCGACGAACUCGACCGCGAUGCCGGCUCGCCUGACGCGACGGACGACGGCCUCGGUCCUGGCAACGUUGACGGGGGUGGUGAUGAUGCUGACGCGGGCACCUCGCUCGGCGAGGAGGACGGCCAUGUCGGCCAUGGGGAUCAUGUGCCCCUGCGCCAGGAAGGGAACCAAUACGAAGUGAGGCCUCGUCUUGCUUUCGCCAUUACCGGUGGUUGGCGCAAGGUGGUGUUGCAUGACGAGAAGUAGAGAGUGUUGAAUUUGAUAGGAAGAACAGACGAAGAGUAGGAUAAACUUAAAUCUUCUAUAUUUCUCUUAAAUUUUUUUUUUAUAAUUUCAGAAACUCUAUGUAUUUUAUGACCUAACAUAUGGGGUUUAUAUAGUCCCCGAAGAUACAUUACAUUAAUUAUAUUCAAAAUGAACUAUUUUUUUUAAGAAUCAAUAACUAAUUUGAUUUGUCCUUUCAUAGACAUUUAAUGGUGCAAUGAACCUUUCUUUUGAUGAAAUUAAUCUCUUUAUGAUAUUUAUAAUAAGUUUAAUUCUAACAUUCUCCCCCCUUAAACUUGUUUCAUCUAACAUGUAAAGUUUCUUUCGAAGUUAUUAAAAUAUUUUAAAUUUGAGAGGUUUUGUAAGUAUAUCGAACACUUGUUCACCUGUCUUGAUAUAAUGUAGCUCCAUUUAUUUAUUUUUGAUAUGAUCUCUUAUAAAAUAAAUCUUGUGUCGAUAUACUUUGAUCUUUCAUGGUAGACUAUAUUCUUGGUUAAGACAAUAGCUGAUUUGUUAUUAACAUAAAUCUUAGAUAACUACUCCUAUAACAUAUAAAGUUCUUAGAGUAAUCUUCUUAGUUAUAUUGCUUGGCAAACACUAGAAGAAGCUGCUAUAUAUUCUGCUUCGCAACUUGAUAGAGUAAUGAUCUAUUAUUUUUUUGAAGACCAAGUAAUAAAAUAUAUUUUUUCAAUCAUCGUAGCUUCCAACCUAAUCACUAUCACUAUAUCCAAUGAGCUCCAACCUUUAAGAUGAUGAAUAAAACAUUCUAUACUCAAUUGUUCCUUUAAUAUAUCAUAAAAUUCUUUUAACGAUAUUUAAAUGUGAUAUCCUAGGAGCUUCCAUAUAUCUACUUAUUAAACCAACUCCAAAUAGUUUAUCGGGUUGAGUGCAUGUCAAAUAUCUUAAACAUCAAAUUAAACUUUUAUAAUAAGUUGGAUUAAUAUAUUUACCUUCAACUUUCUUAGUCAACUUGGUACCAUAUUCAAUAAGGGUAUAUGUAGGAUGACAAUCUUCUGUAGAAAACUUCUUUAGAACCUCCUAUGCAUAAUUUUCUUGUGAAAUAAAAUAAGUCAUUAACCCUAAGUUGAUUAUCUCAAAUUUCUUUUUCAUCGAGUGCUUAAAAUCUUUAAUCAUAAAAAGCUAUUAUUGCUUGUAAAUAUUAAAUCAUCUACAUACAUGUAUACAAAUAAGAUAUCUUCAAGAGAGUUAGAUUUUGUACGGAGAGCAUGUUCAUGUGGACAUUUAGAAAAAUUAUUUUGAAUAAAAUAAGCAUAUAUCUAAUAAUUCGAGUAGGGCUUGUUUAAGUCUAUAAAAAGCUCUCUUUAACUUAUAUACUUUAUCUUCUUAUUUAUGAAUAAUAAAACCAUGGGAUUGUUGAAUAUAUAUCUCUUCUUCAAGAAUUUCAUUAAGAAAUACUAAUUUGACAUCCAUUUAUAAAAUUUUUUAUUUCAAUUAAACUGCUAAAGAGAUAAGUAAUCUUACAUUCUCUAGUUGAACAACUAGUGUAAAUACUUCUUCAUAGUCAAUCUUAUAUUAUUGUUUGCAUCCCUUUGCAACUAAUUGGGCCUUGUAUUUCUUCACCUCUCCUUUUGUAUUUCUUUUUAUUUUGAAGAUCCACUUAACACCAAUCACUUGAUGGUUUUCAGGAAGUGUAGUAAGUUCCUAUGCAUUAUUUUUGUUAAUGACAUGAAUUUCUUCGUUCAUAGCUUGUCACCAUUUUUCUUCUCUAUAAGCUUCUUGGAAGGUUAAUGGAUCAUAUCAUGCAAAAAGAUAAAAUAAAAAAAUUCAUCAUUGUUAAUAUCAAUCUUUUGAGUCACAUCAUAUAACUCUUGAAUCGGUCUUAUCCUUCUUAUAAUCAGACUUCUUGAAUCAUGUAACCUAGCAGAUCUAGGUGAUAAUUCCGGCAAAGCCACUUCGGUGCUUGCUUGUAUUAUAUUAUCCUCUUAUGAAGUUAUAGCUUUCUUAUGCUGCUCAUCACUUUGCCAAUUCCAAAUCUGUUACUCAUCAAACUUAACAUCUCUUGACAUCAUAACUUUAUUUGUGAUACGAGAAUAGAGUUUUAACCAUUGAAAUUCUUUUGAUAACUUAACAAAAUGCAUUUAUGAUUUUUAUCCUUCAGUUUUGUUCUCUUUUCUUCUGGUAUCUUGGCAAAUGCUACACUUUCUAAAAUUCUCAAAUAAUCAACUUUUAGUUUCUGUAAAUAUUAUCAAUUCGCUUUGUCGAAAACCUAUUAAGCAAAUAAACUACACAAGUCAAAAUAUUUCUCCAAAAUUCUUUAGGAAUUUUUCUUUCCUUUAAUGUGCAUCAGACCAUAUUAAGGAGAAUCCUAUUUUUUCUUUCUAAUAUAUUAUUUUGUUGAGAUGUAUAUAACAUGAUGAAUUGAUGUAGAAUUCUAUUAUUUCUAUAAAAAUUUUCAAAUUCAUUUGACAUAUAUAUUCACCACCCUUAUCCAUUCUUAAAUAUUUAAUAUUACAACUACUUUAUCGACCAAAUCUUUAAAUUAUUUAAUUUUACUUUAAAUUUUUUUUUUCUUUUAACAUGUAAAUCCAGCCACGAUGAUCAUUAGUAAAGAUAAGAAAAUACCUGCUUCUUUAAGUGAUACUGGGCUGAUAGGGCCACAAACAUCGGAGUGCACCAAAUCAAGCCGAUGUUAUACUCUUUUUGUCCUUCUGACUUUCAAAGACUUUCUUUCUUGCUUGCCCAUGACACAUACUUCAUAUAAUUAUAAUGGGCAAUCAAUUCUUAGCAUUCAUAUCACUAUAUUAUACAUAUGUAGAAGUUUCAAAGCCUCAAAAUUUAAGUGAGUAUAUUUAAGAUAUCAUAAUGUAGGAAUAUCCUCAAUAUUAGUUUUAAAAUAAUUUGACCGAUCAAAAAUAUAAAAAUGUAGAGGAAAUAUUCUAUUCUUUGCCAUUUUCAUAAUAUCAAUGUUUUAUUCUUAUCAUGAAUUGAGAGAGCUAUAUCUUUUAUCUCAAUUUAAUAACUUUUUUCAAUUAAUUACCCCAAGCUUAGAUUAUUAUUAUUUAUUACAUGAACAUAAUAAGUAUUUGAAAUACAUAAUUCUUUGCCAUUAUUAAGUUCGAGAAGAAUUUUACUUUUACCUCUUACAAAUCACCAAAUGUAAUAUUUCCAAAAUAACUUGUAUCUAUUUUUGAAAAUAAUUUUUUUAAUGCCAUACAUGUGAUUUAAGACUCCUGUAUCUAAAUACCAUGUCAUAGAUGGAUAAUCUUUUAAAUUAUUAUAUGUCAUCAGUAAAAUUUGAUUUUCAUUAUUUCUUUUCUCAACAAAAUUUAUCUUAUCAUCUAUUAGAAUUAUAAUAACAUUCAUAGGAGUAAAUAUAGUAUUAUAUUUCAGAUCUUUUACAAUUUCUGUCAUGUCCAUGACCUCGUUCACAUCCUUGACCUCUUUGUUGGGUAUGGAAAAGAAAAAAAAAAACUUUCUAUUAUUCAAAAAUAUAUUCCGAAUGAGGUCGAUCGAUUGUGCAUUGUAUUACUUUCUAUUAUUUGAAAAUAUCAACAUGUUUUAUUUAAGAAGUUAUUGAUCCUAACCUUCAUCUUAAAAGAAAUUGAAAGGUUACAAGGCGUAUCAAGUUUUAUAGCACUAACGGUGACAUAUAUUAUUAUGGUUUUGAUUUCAACACAAUAAUAAAUGAAAUUUUGUGAUUUGAAGAUUUCAAGAAUUCUUUUCUUCGAUGGAAAUAUUUUUUUUUGAAAUAUAAAAUGCUCGUCGAUUAACCNNNNNNNNNNNNNNNNNNNNNNNNNNNNNNNNNNNNNNNNNNNNNNNNNNNNNNNNNNNNNNNNNNNNNNNNNNNNNNNNNNNNNNNNNNNNNNNNNNNNNNNNNNNNNNNNNNNNNNNNNNNNNNNNNNNNNNNNNNNNNNNNNNNNNNNNNNNNNNNNNNNNNNNNNNNNNNNNNNNNNNNNNNNNNNNNNNNNNNNNNNNNNNNNNNNNNNNNNNNNNNNNNNNNNNNNNNNNNNNNNNNNNNNNNNNNNNNNNNNNNNNNNGUCCAUCAGUCGCGAGAUCGCCUUCUCUAUCUCUUCUGCGCCUACGUGGGCGUCGGGCACCGUCACGCCCACCGCCACUCCGGUUCGCUGAACGUCUACGAUCAGCCUCUCAUUAAUGUACUGGUCGCUGCUGAAGUGAGGCCAUGUCGCCAUCGGCACGCCCUCCGACACCGCCUCCACCACCGAGUUCCAUCCGCAGUGUGUCACGAAUCCUCCGAUCGCCGGGUGCGACAAGAUCGCCGCCUGAGGCGCCCAUCCCUUGAUGAUAAGUCCCUUGUCACCGACCCUCUCCUGGAAGCCGCCGCCCGACAGCCACUUCUCCACCUCAGGGGACGACGCAUCGACCUCCUUGAUCACCCAAAGGAAGGCCCGGCCGGAUGCUUCCAGCCCACGCCCUAUCUCCAGUACCUGAGCCGGGCUGUGGCGGACGAUGCUGCCGAAGCUGACAUAGACGACAGACCUCGGGGCCUUCUCGUCUAGCCAGAGAAGAAUUCGUUGUUUGUCGACGGACGCCUUGUUCCCUCUCGCGGCCUUGUCGUCCGGAUCCUGGUUCGACAGCGACAGUGGCCCGAUCGUCCAAACCUUCUUCCCCUUCGCCUCUCUGCUGUAGCACUCGACGUAUGUGGCCUCCAAGGCUUCAAACGUGUUGAUCACGAACCCAUCCGCGGCGGUCUCCGCCUCCCAGACCUCCUCGCGGAACUUUUCCCACCCCAGCAUGGUGAUGAACCACGCCAUCUGGGCCAUGCUGAUCUCGAGCCGGUGAGGCAAGCCGGGCACGUCAAAAGGCUCGAACGGGUCACCGAUCUGCUCGUAGAUCUUGUGCCGUAGGAUCAUGCGUGCGCACAGCAUAUUCAAGCAGGAGGGGCCGUGGAAGAGGAGAUAUGGCAUCUGGAGCUCCUCGGCAACUCCCUUCGUCCAAGGAUUACAUGAGUCAGCGAUCAUGCACGUCGGGGGUUGCCGCUGGGCUCGAAGGUGCUGCGUAAGGGGGUGACGGAGAAGGCCGGUGGCGUCGUGAAACUGUUUUAUCAAUUCAUAAGAAGGCAGCAGGUCGAUUCUCUCGCACCCUUCGGGAAGUCCCACUUCGGCGCAAGGGAAGGUAAGCUCGACGAACUCGACCGCGAUGCCGGCUCGCCUGACGCGGCGGACGACGGCCUCGGUCCUGGCAACGUUGACGGGGGUGGUGAUGAAGCUGACGCGGGCGCCUCGCUCGGCGAGGAGAACUGCCAUGUCAGCCAUGGGGAUCAUGUGCCCCUGCGCCAGGAAGGGAACCAACACGAAGUGAGGCCUCGUCUUGCUUUCGCCAUUACUGGCGGUCGGCGCGUGGUGGUGUUGCAUGACGAGAACUAGAGAGCCCUGAUGCGACUCAGAGCUGACAUACACACCCGCAUAUGUAGACUGAGAUGCGU